GUGGAACUGAAUUCUUCCUUGCUUGAGCAUUUUCCAAAUUUUCCCAAUUUACUUUUGCAGGAAGAAACUCUUUGGGGGGCUGUCACUGAGAGAGGAUUUCAAAUGAGCAGCCUGUGACACCUCCCCAUGGCAAAUUAAACUUGGUCCGGAGAGCUCGAAGCAAUUCGGUAAAACCACAGCGAGUCAUUCAUUCAGCAUCUGCUGCAUCAGUGCUGGGAGCAUCUCCCGACCCCCAGGUCCCCC
rnacentral:lncRNA from 1 species